rnacentral:rRNA from 1 species
GAUGAACGCUGGCGGCGUGCCUAAUACAUGCAAGUCGAGCGAACGGACGAGAAGCUUGCUCCUCUGACGUUAGCGGCGGACGGGUGAGUAACACGUGGAUAACCUACCUAUAAGACUGGGAUAACUUCGGGAAACCGGAGCUAAUACCGGAUAAUAUAUUGAACCGCAUGGUUCAAUAGUGAAAGACGGUUUUGCUGUCACUUAUAGAUGGAUCCGCGCUGCAUUAGCUAGUUGGUAAGGUAACGGCUUACCAAGGCAACGAUGCAUAGCCGACCUGAGAGGGUGAUCGGCCACACUGGAACUGAGACACGGUCCAGACUCCUACGGGAGGCAGCAGUAGGGAAUCUUCCGCAAUGGGCGAAAGCUUGACGGAGCAACGCCGCGUGAGUGAUGAAGGUCUUCGGAUCGUAAAACUCUGUUAUUAGGGAAGAACAAAUGUGUAAGUAACUAUGCACGUCUUGACGGUACCUAAUCAGAAAGCCACGGCUAACUACGUG